AAACCCUCACUUUCCCUCAGCUUGCUAGGGUUUCCAUUUUCAAAUCCCCACCAUCCUCCUUCUGGAUCCCCAAAUUUCAGAUCCUCAAUUUUCAAUUUUCAAAUCCCAAGAUCUGGCUGACGGUUUGGGCUCGUCCUCUGCUCUACAUUAUACACCCUCUUUUGUUUCGUGUCUCCCAAUUUCAAUAAGCAACUAAUCAGAGAGCUUUUUGGUAAGUAAAUAAUCAGAGAAGGUUUCACAGAAGAGAGAGACACAAUGACGACUCGAAUAGCUCUGGGAGUCGGAGCUAACUUGCUCGGUCAACACACCGCGAGAGAAACCAGGACGCCAUUGCUGACGUCGGCAAUCUCGACCCUCAGGUUAGUGAAGAAUUGCUGUGGGAGCAAUUUGUUCGAGCCGGUCCUAUUGUUAAUGUGUAUGUUCCUAAAGAUAGAGUUAUGAACCUCCAUCAAGGAUAUAGAUUCGUGGAGUUCCGAAGUGAAGAGGAUGUUGAUUACAUAAGUUUUCCUAUUCUCAAGUUAUUAUAUAGCUCCCCGAUUCCUGUUAAAGAUGUUGUUUCUGACUAUAAAUUUGUUGUUUUGACUGCCAUGCCUACACUCAAGGUGCUUAAUAUGAUCAACCUUUACGGAAAGGCAAUUCG